GUGCCAGCAGCCGCGGUACUACCGGCAGCUCAAGUGAUGUCCCAUAUUAUUGGGCCUAAAGCGUCCGUAGCUGGCCGACCAAGUCUCCCGGGAAAUCCACCCGCCCAACGGGUGGGCGUCCGGUAGAAACUACACGGCUUGGGGCCGAGAGACUCAACGGGUACGUCCGGGGUAGGAGUGAAAUCCUGUAAUCCUGGACGGACCACCAAUGGGGAAACCACGUUGAGAGAUCGGACCCGACGGUGAGGGACGAAAGCUAGGGUCUCGAACCGGAUUAGAUACCCUAGUAGUCC
rnacentral:rRNA from 1 species